rnacentral:misc_RNA from 1 species
GUUGAAGAACGUAGCGAAAUGCGAUACGUAAUGUGAAUUGCAGAAUUCAGUGAAUCAUCGAGUCUUUGAACGCACAUUGCGCCCCCUGGUAUUCCGGGGGGCAUGCCUGUCCGAGCGUCAUUGCUGCCCUCAAGCACGGCUUGUGUGUUGGGCCUCCGUCCUCCUCCCGGGGGACGGGCCCGAAAGGCAGCGGCGGCACCGCGUCCGGUCCUCGAGCGUAUGGGGCUUCGUCACCCGCUCUUGUAGGCCCGGCCGGCGCUUGCCGACACAUCAAUCUUUUUUCCAGGUUGACCUCGGAUCAGGUAGGGAUACCCGCUGAACUUAAGCAUAUCAAUAAGCGGAGGA